AGUAGAAUCAGCUAAAUAAGCUUCUGGGCCCAUACCCCAGAGAUGUUGGUUAAAAUCCCUCUUCUACUG
rnacentral:tRNA from 1 species